UAGGGAAGGGGAGGAAGGGAAUGAGAUUUUAUAUAGUGCCUACUAUGGGCAGGUUAUGCAUAUUUUACAAAUACUGUAUCAUUUAAUCCUCACAACAACCCUUUGAGGUAUAAAGAAGGGUUGGAGAGGAAGCAAAGACUAGGUACUACAGAACGAGGCACUGAACUCUUAGAGAAAGGAGAGAAAAUGUCCUGAGGACUGUCAUCCAAGUCCAGUAGCAAGACAAAAGUCAGGAUGACUACUGAUGGCCCAGGAUGCAGUGAAUGACCUUGGCAUCUUCAAUAUCUCACCAAGUUCUAUGCACCUGCUUCAGCCAUCUUCAUGACUGUUGGAACAAUUGUUCUCAUCCACUUGUUUUCCUGGGGAAAGUCUUCACAUGCAUGGGGUAGACACCCCCCAAGUCACUGAUAGGCUUGAAGCUUGUUGGUUAUCCAUGUGCUAGUUUUCCUGGGGUGUAGUUGACACACACGCUACAGCUUCAGGAAGCCACAGGUGAGAGCAGGAUGAAAGGUGACACCAACAGUGAAUGAACAGCCCUGAACUCAGGAAGCCCUCACCUCAGAGUCCUCCAUGAACACCCCAUCAAGAGAUGCUGGGGCUGGGCAAAUAGACCUGAGAAUCAUCUUAAUAGAGCCAUUGACUGAGAGAUAAUGAAAUCAAGUAAAACAGUAGAGCAGAAGAAGAGAAAAGGAAUGAGAACAAAGCCUUAGGCAUCAUUUAGAGUCAUGACAUGGAUAAGUAUUCAGUUAAAGACACUGAGAGGAGCAGUCAGACCAGAAAAAGGAGAAGCAGGAAAGAGUUGUAAUAACCCCAAAAGAAGGGAGUAACAAUGCAAAGAGAGUGAUCAACAGUAUCUGUAGCAGGCAGAAAGGUUAAGCAAAGGGUGAAUCAAAAGAAACGCCCAUUAGAGAUGGAGAUUAAGGCCACUGAUGACUUCGGAGAGAGGUUUCACUUGAAUUAUGAAGUCUGAGGCCAGAGCAAGAGAGUUAGGAAGCAGGUAAGAGGGAAGGCAGGUGAGGCACUGGGCUGUAGGAGCCUCCUCAAGAUGUUAGCCAUGAGAGGGAGGAGAGGUAUGGGAUGAUGGCUAUCAGGGAUGGAUGGAUCAAAUAAGGGGUUCAUUUUUUUGCAGAUGGGGAGACAUGGGUAUGUUUUUAGGCAGCAGGGAAGUAACCUUAGUAAAAAUGGAGUGAUCGCACUGAUGUGGGUGUUCUCUCCAAAGGUGCACACUGUAACCUAUUCACACUUUUUAAUACUGUGUCAUUCUCCUAUAAAUACCCCUACUGCAUUAUUGGUAGAACAUCAGUGAUGAAAGAAGGGUUUAAAUGUCAGAAGUAUUAUGGCAAUGUUGAAUAUGCUAAAUAAAUUUCCGAAAGCAAUCCAAACUACUUUUCCCUUCCUAUGAGGUCUAGACACUAGGUGGCGCAGUGGCUAGAGAACAGGAAGUGGAGUCAUGAAUGAGUUCAAAUGCUUACUCACAUGUAAUAGCUUUGUGACCCUGGGUAAGUCAACCUUUGUUUGCCUCUGUUUACUCAUCUGUCAAAUGGAGAUAAUAAAAGAACCUACCUCACAGGAUGUUGUGAGGACCAAAUGAGAUAAUAUUUGUGAAGCAUUUUUCAACUCUUACAGGUAUUACAUAAAUGUUAGUUGCUAUUUUUACUUCAUUGUUGAUCUGCAAUACCUGUCCAAGAUAUAUCUACUAAUUCUGUAUGGAUAUUAGACCAAUUUAUUUCAUGUAACAAUUGAUCUCAUUGAGGAAGUCCUAUUAGUAUUCUGGAUCUUGAUGCAAUCAACACAAUGUCAUUCACAUAAUGGGACAUUUGAAGGAUUUUGCCAUCUAUAGAAAAUUCCUCUUCCGUUUGGACUUUUUAGUCCAAAUGAUGUCAUCCUCUUAUAAUAGCAAAAGUUCACUGGUAUGCAUAUUUUCUGUUUUAUCUCUUAUUUGAUAUCAAUAACCAGAAGAUCAUUGAAUGAAGUUCUCUCUAUGGUUGCUCCUACUAAUGAAUCUUGAAUAAUCUUAGCAUAUGAAUAAAAAUUAAUCCAUUAGUAGAAAUCACUUCCAGCUGGGAUAGACAAGCACGAUUUCAUGGAAGAAGUAAGAUUUGUGCAAGGUGUUCUAUUAAGGAGAAAUAAAAGUUUGAUGGGCCUGGUAAAGGCAAAGGGAAUCAGAGGAUCCCAAAAUUGCUGGCUAGAUAAACAGACAUGAUACAUUUAUUUAGACUAAAGGGAUGAUGUAGAGGCAUAGCAAGAAAUAAAGUCAGAAAGUAUUGAUGAAGUAACUCAAUGAUCUGCCCAUCCAAUUACCAGAAAGAUAAUCUUUAGGCUAGAUUGUGGAAAGCCUUGAAGGCCAGUUGACAUUUGAUUACAGAGAUAGUUUGGAUAUAUUUCAUGACCAUCACCCACAAUAAUUUUUUAAGCAUCCAAAUGCUACUUUAUUAAUGUUGUACUCAAGCAAAUACACUGGUCCAUAUCACAUAGAUCACAAAAUCAUAAGCUUAAAGAUGAAAGGGCCCUUAAAAUCAUCUAACCUAAAUCUCUCAUUUUCAGAUGGAUAUAUAGUCUUUUUUGUAAAUAAACCUAUCGACUUUCUUUUAAAAACCAUGUAAAUAUAUACUCUUACCUUUUGUUUUAUAAUUGAUACUAAAUGUUGGUUCCAGGGCAAAAGAGCAGUAGGCAAUUGAAGUUAAGUGACUUGCCCCAGGACACGCUGUAAGAGAAUGUCUGAGGACAAAUUUGAACCCAGGACCUCCUGCCUCCAGACCAUUACUCUAACCACUGAAUUACAUAGCUUCACCUUCUCUAAAGGUCUUAACACUACCACACUAAUUUUUAUAGAUAUGGUGGUGAUGAUAGAGAUGACACUACUAUGAGUUUACAUGUAUAAAACCAAUUUAUAGUUAUAAAGCACUCAUAUUAAUGAUCAAAUUUGAUCCUCACAAUAAACCAAAUAUUCUUUGCUUCAGAGAGGGGUAAAAACUUUUGAAUAAAGAAUUUAAAUGAUAUGUCUGAGGUUAUACAGCUAGUUAGCAGCAGAGUAAGGACUUGAAUUCUGAUCUAAGUGCAAGGCCAGAGUUCUUUUCAUUCUACUUUCAUAUGUAUUAACUGACUACAUAUUCAAUGUAGGUAGUUCAAACAUUGACACUCUUUUAAAGAAAAAAAAAACCCUGAAAAGUUAUUAUAAGACUUGUCCAAGGUCUCAUGGUACUAGCAGAUACAAGAUAGCUAAAGGGUUUACAAAUAUAUCAAACAGGUAAUUAGUAUUUUUUCCUGAAAAGUUUUUUUUUUAUUUAACUAACAUUAUAAAUAUAUUGAAAAACAUAAAACUAUGAAAAUAUAAAAAGUUAGUCCUGGCUUCUUCACAUAGCAUUGGCCAGCUGUUGCUAUUAAACUGCAAAUUCCACAGGUAUUUACAGAAUUGUUUGUUACAUUAGGUCAAAAUUUGUUUCCUGGUCCAAAGUUUAAAUCAGGCAUAAGGUUGAUCUUUUAGUUGAGUAUUUUCCAUUUAUAUAUCUCAUAAUGGCAGGCACUACUUGAGUCUGAUCAGACUUGGUAUAAAAUCAAAAGUUAGAACUAGUUUUUGGUUUCCUUAACUUGUCUAUUCUCAGACUCACUGAAAGGAUUUAGAUUCUCUUAAAUGAAUUGAGAGCUCUGCUGAGGGAGCCCCAAGAUGUCUUAGGAAAGCCAUUGUCUGAGAUACUAGAGCUCUGGACUUGUCUGAAACCAGAUCAAGGUUGUUUCAGCACUGCCAGGUGCCUAUAAUUUUGCCUUUAUUUCAAUAAAGAAGUAGAUAAGAGGGCUAUUUUUCGCUUAUUACAUGAAUGAGUUUUAGGGUUUUUUAAAUUUAAAAAAUUCUUUUUUUCUUAGUAAAAACUCCAAGACAGAAGGGCAAGGGAUAAGGAAACCUGGUUAAGUGACUUGCCCAGGGUCACACAGCUAAGAAGUGAGGCCACAUCUGAACCCAGGUCCUCCUGACUCCAGGCCUGGUACUAUGGAAGAGGAAUGAAGAAAGGGAGGAUUUACAGGACAAGCCAGACAUGCAGACCAAGGUGACUGAUCUGUCUGUCAAUCAAGGUGAAGAUUCCAAAUGGAAUGUUCCCAGAAGAGGCCGUUGGAAGCUGGCCAGGGGGAGGAACUGAUUCUCUCUCUUGGGGGUUCCUGACCAAGGGAGAAACCUCUUCUCUGGGUUCCUGACCAAAAGAGACUGACUUUUCCUGACCUAGGCAGAGAGAGAGAGAGAGACCUCUGUGGCUUUUAACAGAGUCUGGACUUGAAUUACUCAAGCAGAGAUUAUCUGACUAAAGAAAGAAGAAAAGAAGAAAGAUAUUUGUCCUCUAAACUCUCUGAUUGUCCCUGAGUCACAGCUAUGGCUGAACUGACAUUUCCCAUACCCUCCUAAUUCUCCUUGUAGAUUAGGGACACCCCUAUCCCACUUACCUUCAAUUUCCAUCCUGUCCUAUCAUUCCCAAUAAACCCCUUUACCUGAGAAUAGAAGAGUAAAGAAUAUUUCUCUGAAAUCUCAUAGUUCCCCUGAGUUACUUAGAAGGUGGCUGACUAAGACCGGGGGAGGGGAAAGAGAGGCAAAAGGGCUGGGUGAAACCUAGGAGGUAAAGGGAGGAAGAGGGUAGGAAAUAUCUUGACUUAUUAGCCAUUAGUGAUCUAUAGGCAGCUCCAGAGAAAUCCUCUUUAGCAGAAUCUCUCAUCAAUCUCCUUUGUAAUUAGGCAGCCCUCAGGUUUCCCUAGUAGCUCUCUAGUCAUAGCAGCCAGAGUAUAUUCCAGUUAUUACAACCAGAAAUAUAGUUCCACACACAGAUUAUUAUUUUAUUACAGUACUCUAUCCCUUGUUCCACCUCCCUGCCCCUCACAUGCCUGAGUCUUAACAACUUUAUCACUUCCUACCUAUGUGAUCAUAGGCAAGUCACUUAAUCUCUCUGAGGCUCAGUUUCUUCACCUGUAAUAUAAGGGACUUGAAUGAGGUGAACUCUGAAGUUCCUUCCAACUUUAGAUUCUAUGAACUCAAGAUCACUCCAAGUCAUUGCUUAUUAUAUUAAGUAAUCCAAAAUAUUUGGUGAACAAAAAAGUUGUAAUGGUAAACAAGUAUAAACAGCCAAACAUGUUAAUUUUCAUUUUUUUGCAUUUACUGAGUACAUCAUAUAUGUUUAACCAAUAACACUGGAUAUCGGUCAAAAUUAAUCAUAACUGAAAAGUCAGCUUAUUGGCUUAGUCACUCAAUGCAUAAGCAUAAUCAGUUGACAGUCUGUUGGCAGAAUUCUGGAAAAAUAAUGUGUCCAUUUAUAUUUAAAAUUUUGUUUUAAUGAUUAAUUUUUAGGUUGUAUAAAAGAUAUCCAGAUUUUGGUCCUAUCAUCCAAAUACUUUAAUACUUGGAUAAAUCUGUACCUUCAAUGAAGUGGGAACUCCAUCUAAGAAAGCAGAGUGGUACUCCUAGAUUACAUGGGUCACUUGUGUCUCAUAUAAUGAAGUAGCCUUCCUCCAGAGCCUGAGGAGCUAGGAUGAUGGGGUUGCCCUCUAUAGUAAGAGGGAAGGUUGGAGGAGGGAUGAAGGGGUUGGAAGAGCCAUUGAGGAGACUGAUAAAGGAGGCAAAGUAAAAUUGUCUAGCAGCAGUGAGGGCCCACCUGAGGUUAUGUAACAAGAUUUUAGUGGACCCAGUCAGAAUGCUUGUGUGAUUUUUCUCCACCUCUGUUCAGUAGCAUAUGUGUAGGACCAAAGGUGAUGAAUAACAAUAGUGAUACAAAGCUGAGACUUGGCUGGACAUAAUUGGUGACAUGAUAAGAGGUCUAGGAAUUCAGGAGAGAAGGGCAGUAUAGAAAUGAACUGGUUCACUAAGGAGUUAAGACAGGAAGAAGAGGAGAGUGGCUAAUGGAGGGGAAAUGGCCUAGGAGAGAAGUAAGGGGUCGAGGACUUGGAAGAUGUGGUGCAGAAAAAGAACAAGAUGAUAUAGAGGAAGACCUGUCCUCCCACAAAUCCUCAAUGGGGGGGCCAACUAUGCAGGGGGACUUAUUUUGGAUCAUCUGGAUUUAAAGAGUGAUUUAAAGAUGCUGGCUAACAUAUGGACAGCCUGAGAUCAUAUUAAUGAAAUGUUAGACGGCCUCCAAGUACAUAUGGAGUACCUAUGGAGGUACUAUGUUGGAGGUACUAUGUACCUCCAAGUACAUAGAUCCUUUAUGGAGGAGCUAUGGGGGGAACAAGGACAAGAGGGCAUGGAUAGGUUGUGAAUAAGCACCACCAAAGGAAAUAUCCACAUCAAUGAAAUCACAUAUCCACUGAAGAACAAAUAUGCAAAACUAGCAAAUCUGAAGAAACUAGAAAGCAAAAAUCAAGAUUUGUUUGUCAAUGAAACAUACAUAAAACUAGUUGAGUACUAAAUUCCAAAUACAGGAGAAAUGCAAAUACAAUAAUAGCUCCAAUCUGGGUUUAUUUCCAGUGAUCCUGAAGCACAGAACUACAAGUAAACUUAUUUUUUUUAAAAUUCCAUAGUUCUAACAAAAUUAUGCAGGUGUUUAUAAAUAAAACAGAAUACAACCCCCCUCCCCCUUGAAUUUUAAAAAGUAAAAUGUGUUGAACUGAAAUACCCAUUCCCCUUGGAAACAAAAAACCAAAAAACUUAACAAAUGAUUAAAUGAAAGUUGUUAUGAAACAUUUAAUUUGGUGAAUUUACCUAAAUGCUUUUAUACAUUAAAAGAUCUAUGAUUUCACGAAUGUGCAUAUAGUUUUCAUCAAAACAUCACAACCUUCCCACUUCUUAGUAGACAGGUUGCUGUGGCCAAAUCAUUCCUCUCCUUGUGACUAGCCUUUUAAUGAAAUAUAGUUUGAUUUUGGGUAGUCACUGAACAACAUUCUGCUUCUGGGUCCAAAUUUGAAGCUUUUCUCCUUUAGUAGGACUUCCAUAGCUUAAGCUCUACUGCCAGAGCAUUCAAGAACAUAGGCUUACCAUGUUCAAAUGAGGCACAAGAGGGGGAUUUUAAUGGAAAAUUACCUCUAAUACUAUUUCCAGUUAUAUAAUACUUAUUGAUAGCAAAUAGUCACAUAUGUUUCACUAAGUAGUUUGUAAUCUUUUAGAUUUAGAAUAUAAUUAAUUUUUAAAAGAAUUAAAAAAAAUUUAUCCUAUUAUUUGGUAUCAUCAGCAGAAUGAAAUUUAAAGUGGAUUUUAAAAGUUUAUUGCAAAAGUUUUAGUGAAGUUUGGGGGAGAGGAAGUUCCUUCUCCUUGAGAAAGAGUUGAUAAAAAUCCCUCAAUUAAUUUCACUGUGAGAGAUAUAAAAGAAACAUAAAACAUGAUCCUUGACUCAAAGAGUCUCGUAUCACCAGCUAGAAUGGAAACCAACACAAAAACUGUUUUAAAACAAUUAAGUGCUGAACCUUGAUAUGCUCAAUGUAAAAAGUCAGGAUGGGAAUUUAAGGAACUUAAAGAGGAAUCUUUGUACUUCAUACACAACUCUUUACAUUCAGAGGUAUAUGAAUUGUUUGGGACAGAAAUAAUUUUUGACAAUAAUGGUCAUGUUAUAUAUGCACAACUGACACUAAAGUGAACUCAGAAAGUCUAACUUUGAUGUGAUGAUACUGGACUUAAUAGGUUUCUUCACCUUUAAUUAGUUCUUUGUCAGCAGAAUACUGAGUUUUGUGGCACACAUAUGUUUCAUGGCUCUUUUGUUAUAUUUUAAUUCUUUGGGUUUUAAGAAAGGCUAUCAUUUCAGGGAAACAAAAAAGAGCACACGUCAAAGACUGUUAGAGUUAUUGCUGUGACUGGUGGCACAGGAAAGUCAAAUAUUUCAAGAAUCAUAAAAGAGGAUAAGACACACUGAAGUGCAGACAAAAGUGAAGUUGGAAAUGAAAUAUUAAAUACUAAAAACAAGGUUUCACAUUAAUCAGAAAAUAAUCUUAACAUACAUUUUAAAGUAUUGUAAACACAGGUUGAAGUUCUAUAAAUAUAGCUUUAGCUCUGAGUGAAAUUUUAUGACUGAAUAUGAAAUGCUUGGGAAAAAAAGAGCUCUGUGAAGGAAAUGCUAAGAUGUAUUCAGUUAAUGAACAAAAGUAAUAGCAAUUGAUAGUGUCUCCAAAGAAAAGAAACCUAUCAAAAAGCAAUGUAGAGGGGGCAGCUGGGUAGCUCAGUGGAUUGAGAGCCAGGCCUAGAGACGGGAGGUCCUAGGUUCAAAUCUGACCUCAGACACUUCCUAGCUGUGUGACCCUGGGCAAGUCACUUGACCCCCAUUGCCUAGCCCUUACCACUCUUCUGCCUUGGAACCAAUACACAGUAUUGACUCCAAGACGGAAGGUAAGGAUUUAAAAAAAAAAUAGCAAUGUAGAAAGUUUACUAGCAGUUGGCUGCUAUAAGAAAAACUGCAGUAGUGCAAAGAUUAAAAAAAAUCUUUCCCCCCUUUGUUUUAGUGUUUUUAGCCCAUGUGUACUGAUGGCAAAUAGUCUAAAAUGCCUUUUCACUCAAAACUUUAGUUAUGCAUGAAAAUAACAUAUGCAGCAUAUAUGUAGUUUUAAUAUUUUUGAAAUUUGCAUUCAAUUUUCCUGCCCACAAGAUGUAUUAACUUAGCACUAACAAAAAAAUAUUAGCCCUUUAAUCUAUGUUCCCAUCUAUCUGAAGAGCUGUUUGUAAUGGAACUGAAUAAAACAGGGUAACACAAAAAUGUUCAAUAAGAAAUUGCCAUUUCUAUUUUUGCUAUUGUUUAGUCAUUUUUCAAGUGGGUCUUACUCUUUCUGACUCCUUUUGGGGUUUUCUUGGUUAAGAUAUUGGAGUGGUUUGCCUUUCUAGCUCAUCUGACAGAGGAGGAACUGAAGCAAAUAAGGUUAAGUGACUUAACUAAAGUCAUAUAGCUAAUAAGUGUCUAAGGCCAGAUAUGUAUUAAGGAAGAAAAGUCUUUCUGACUCCAGGUCUGGCACUCUAUCCACUGCACCAAUCUUUUCUAUAUUAAUGAUAAAGAAAAUCUCCCAAGUAUAAUCUAUUUUGACAUUUUCAGAGUACUAUUUGUUGGUCUGUUCUUUUUUUUUUUAAAUAUAUUUUAUUUGAUCAUUUCCAAGCAUUAUUCGUUAAAGACAUAGAUCAUUUUCUUUUCCUCCCCCCCCCACCCCCCAUAGCCGACGCGUAAGUCCACUGGGCAUUAGAUGUUUUCUUGAUUUGAACCCAUUGCUUUGUUGAUAGUAUUUGCAUUAGAGUGUUCAUUUAGAGUCUCUCCUCUGUCAUGUCCCCUCAACCUCUGUAUUCAGGCAGUUGCUUUUUCUCGGUGUUUCCACUCCCAUAGUUUAUCCUUUGCUUAUGAAUGGUGUUUUUUUCUCCUGGAUCCCUGCAAGUUGUUCAGGGACAUUACACCACUACUAAUGGAGAAGUCCAUUACGUUCGAUUAUACCACAGUGUAUUAGUCUCUGUGUGAUCUGUUCUUUUGUAAGAGAAACUGGGAUAACAGUUCCAUGCUUCAUGAUUACUGUUAAACCAAGUACUACUACUAGGAAAGAAGAAAACACUUAUUAACUGCCUUACUAUUUGUCAGAUACUGUGUUAAGCACUUUACAAAUAUGAUUCCAUUUGGUCUUCACAAUCACCCUACAAUACAGAUGCUAUCAUUAUCCCAAUUUUACAUCUGAAGAAACUGAAGCAAAAAGAGGUUCAAUGACUUUCUAGGGUCAUACAACUAAUAAGUUUCUUGAACCUUGAUUUGAACUCAGAUGUUCCUGACUCCAGGCCCAAUGCUCUAUUCCCCUUAAAAGACAUACAUAUAUACUUCUUUUUCUUUUUCUUUGCUAUACAAUUAUUUGUUUUAAAUCCUGCUUAACUAGUACUAACUCCAAUUUUUAUAUUUAGCGUGGAAGAUAAAAUAGUAAGGAGGAGUAUUCUAUGUUAGUUUAUAUUAUAUAACUAAAUUAACCAACUGCCACCAAUCAUUAAAAAUUAUAUGCCAUUGUUUUGUAAUAUAAAUUAUAGCCUAUUAGACACUGAAUGAAAUUCAACUUGUAUAAAAUACUAUGUCAGUCUUGGGCAAAACUGAAAGAAAAGUUUUAAAAUUUAGAAAUCUGGGGGCGGAGUCAAGAUGGUGGUUUAGAAGCAGCAGAAGUUCAGACCUCUGAAAACCCUUCCUUACCGAUCACAAACUGACUGCUUCUAGGAGGCUGAAAAUCAAACCUAACAACAAGACAGAGCCAAGGAACCCUCCUGCUGGACUCAAUCCAAAAGGUACACCCACCAAAACCCAGAAUCUGAGAACACUCAGGUUUAAGGGAAAGGCAGAAGGAAGGUCCCAAGACUCCUCCCCCAUUCCCACCUAAAGUGCUAAGCCUCCAGCAGCAGUGGGAACCUCUGGGCGGGCAAAGGCAAUUUUUUUCUUAUUUUUUUAAUUUCUGGAGGGUGUACCUUGUGGACAGGGCUGUGCCAGGCUCAGAGCAUUGAACACAGGUGGCCGGGAAGGAGCUGGAGAGGGAGUGCAGAGCUGGCAGCCUGGACAGAGCUAUGAAGACCCUCCAUAUUGCUCUAGCCUUCCAGGAGGUUUGGGCCUUAGGGUGCACCCAGCCCAACCCAGAUGAACUUAAUCCCAUCAAAAGUCUUCAGAGGUCAGGGAAGUCCAAACUCCAACAACCCUCCCUCACAGACUUCUGGACUUUAAUUUAAUCCAAUCAAAAGCCUCCAGAGGAUAGGGAAGCUCAAACUACAACAUCCCUCCCCCACAGACUGCAGGGAGAAACCUUCUGUCAAAGCUCCAAGAGGGGAGACUGACAAAAACCCCCAAAACCAAAAAAAUGAGAGGAGCAAGAGCACAGACUAAUUCGGGGAGCAAAGAAAGGGUAAAUAUGAGCAAACAACAGAAAAAGAAGAAAGAAAUUACAAUACACAGCUUCUGUAAAGGUAACGAGCAAAGAGAGAACAGAACAGAGGGAGAGGGAUCAGCAAAGGAAAAAUCAGAAAUCCCAGCGAAUCGGAUACAGGCUUUGGAAGAACUCAAAACACAAUUAAGAUAGGCUGAAGACAAUUGGGAAAAGAACUUAAAAACUAAAUAAGUCAUCUGGAAACAGAAAAUACUGUUUUGAAAGCCAAAAUCAACCAGCUUGAAAAUGAGGCAAAGGAGAUGAAAGAUGAGGGAAAGAGGAUGAAAGAUGACCUCCAAAGAAAAUCAGACCAGAAGAAGAAGGAUGACCAAAAAUCCAGGGAUGAAAUCCAGUCUUUAAGAAUCAGAAUACAACACCUAGAAUUAAGUGACCUCACAAGGCAGCAGGACACUAUAAAAGAAAACCAAAAAUGAAAAAAUUGAAAAAAAUAUAAAGCAUCUCAUUCACAAAACAGAAGAUUUAGAAAAUCGUUCGAGGAGAGACAAUUUAAGAAUCAUUGGUCUACCAGAAGACCAUGACCAAAAAAAAAAAAAGCCUGGACAUUAUACUACAGGAAAUUAUUCAAGAAAACUGCCCUGAUAUUCUAGAACAAGAGGGAAAAGUGGAGAUUGAAAGAAUCCACAGAUCACCUCCUGUACAACACCCAGGAAUGUUAUAGUCAAAUUCAAGACUAUCAUACCAAAGAAAAAGUAUUACAAGCUGCCAAGAAAAAGUCAUUCAGAUGCCAUGCAACCACAGUGAGGAUAACACAGGAUCUGGCUGCAUCUACAUUGAAAGACUAAAAGGCAUGGAAUAUGAUAUUCUGGAAAGCAAGGGAACUAGGUCUACAACCAAGAAUCAACUACCCAGCAAAACUGACUAUAUUCUUACAGGGGAAAGUAUGGCCAUUCAACAAAAUAGAAGAAUUCCAAGAAUUUGUAAAGAAAAGACCAGACCUGAACAGAAAAUUUGAUAUCCAAGCACAGAACUCGAGAGAAUCAUCAAAAGGUAAUUUUAAAAAGGGGGGAAAAAGAAAAACAAAACAACAACAACAACAACAACAAAAUUUUUAAGAGACUCAAUAAGUCAAAAUAUGUAUCCCUGUAAGAAAAUAGGUCAUUGGUAAUGCUUAAAAACUGUUGCUAUCACCUGGGCUGCUAGAAGAAUUACACUUAGAGGGAACAGUGACAAACUGUAUAGGAUGAAAGGACAAGACAUAAAUAGGUAUAUAGAUAUAUGUAUGCAUAAAUACAUAAGCAUGUGUGUAUAUAUAUAUAUAUAUAUAGACAUAUAUAUAUACAACUAGAGCUUAAAAAAGAGGUCAAUUCUAAAAGAAAUGGGAAAAGAAACAAAAGGGGGUAAAUUUAUAUGUCACAAAGAAGCUCAUAGCGGGAGGGGGGGAAGAACAUCAAUACACUGGAAGGGUAAAGAGGUUGGAGACAGGAAAUACUCAACUCUUACAUGCACUGAAAUUGACCCAAAGAGGGAAGAACAAUCCAAUCCAUUGGGGCAGAGAAUAGAUUCGCGCCCUAUAGAGGAGUAGAAGGGUAACAAACGGACUGGUGGAGAGGGAAGCAGUAUAA